GACGAACGCUGGCGGCGUGCUUAACACAUGCAAGUCGAACGGAAAGGCCCUGCUUUUGUGGGGUGCUCGAGUGGCGAACGGGUGAGUAACACGUGAGUAACCUGCCCUUGACUUUGGGAUAACUUCAGGAAACUGGGGCUAAUACCGGAUAGGAGCUCCUGCUGCAUGGUGGGGGUUGGAAAGUUUCGGCGGUUGGGGAUGGACUCGCGGCUUAUCAGCUUGUUGGUGGGGUAGUGGCUUACCAAGGCUUUGACGGGUAGCCGGCCUGAGAGGGUGACCGGCCACAGUGGGACUGAGAUACGGCCCAGACUCCUACGGGAGGCAGCAGUGGGGAAUAUUGCACAAUGGGCGGAAGCCUGAUGCAGCAACGCCGCGUGCGGGAUGACGGCCUUCGGGUUGUAAAACGCUUUCGCCUGUGACGAAGCGUGAGUGACGGUAAUGGGUAAAGAAGCACCGGCUAACUACGUG
rnacentral:rRNA from 1 species